rnacentral:rRNA from 1 species
CACGGGGGUUGCGAGCGUUGUCCGGAAUUACUAGGCGUAAAGGGCAGGCAGGCGGAUCCAUAAGUUUAUCGUUUAAGGCGUCGGCUUAACCGGCGUAGGGCGGUAGAUACUGUGGAUCUGGAAUGCGGUUGGGGAAGACAGAAUUCCUGGUGUAGCGGUGGAAUGCGCAGAGAUCAGGAGGAAUACCGAAGGCGAAGGCAGUCUUCCAAGCCGUUAUUGACGCUCAACUGCGAAGGUGUGGGUAUCAAAAAGGAUUAGAUACCCCUGUAGUCCCUGAGCGGG